GUGGUAUGACCCUAAAGUCAAGUGGGUUUAGAAAAUGAGGUAUUGGGACCUUGUUUCUAUAAACCGAGUUGUAAAUAUUUUUAUAAAUAUUUACGGAGUGGCAAUAAGAUGGUAUUAAAGUUUCGUUGAAAAUUUUUAUUGUUUCGAUAGUUAAUUAAGCAAAAAGGACUAAAUCGCGUAAAGUGCAAAAGUUGUGUUCUAUAAGCUAAAGGUAUUAAAUAGCUAUAGAACUUUAAAUUGGAAGUCCUUAUUUGGUAAUUAGCCCAU
rnacentral:lncRNA from 1 species